rnacentral:rRNA from 1 species
CAGGGUAUAGACCCGAAACCCGGUGAUCUAGCCAUGGGCAGGUUGAAGGUUGGGUAACACUAACUGGAGGACCGAACCGACUAAUGUUGAAAAAUUAGCGGAUGACUUGUGGCUGGGGGUGAAAGGCCAAUCAAACCGGGAGAUAGCUGGUUCUCCCCGAAAGCUAUUUAGGUAGCGCCUCGUGAAUUCAUCUCCGGGGGUAGAGCACUGUUUCGGCAAGGGGGUCAUCCCGACUUACCAACCCGAUGCAAACUGCGAAUACCGGAGAAUGUUAUCACGGGAGACACACGGCGGGUGCUAACGUCCGUCGUGAAGAGGGAAACAACCCAGACCGCCAGCUAAGGUCCCAAAGUCAUGGUUAAGUGGGAAACGAUGUGGGAAGGCCCAGACAGCCAGGAUGUUGGCUUAGAAGCAGCCAUCAUUUAAAGAAAGCGUAAUAGCUCACUGGUCGAGUCGGCCUGCGCGGAAGAUGUAACGGGGCUAAACCAUGCACCGAAGCUGCGGCAGCGACACUGUGUGUUGUUGGGUAGGGGAGCGUUCUGUAAGCCUGUGAAGGUGUGCUGUGAGGCAUGCUGGAGGUAUCAGAAGUGCGAAUGCUGACAUAAGUAACGAUAAAGCGGGUGAAAAGCCCGCUCGCCGGAAGACCAAGGGUUCCUGUCCAACGUUAAUCGGGGCAGGGUGAGUCGACCCCUAAGGCGAGGCCGAAAGGCGUAGUCGAUGGGAAACAGGUUAAUAUUCCUGUACUUGGUGUUACUGCGAAGGGGGGACGGAGAAGGCUAUGUUGGCCGGGCGACGGUUGUCCCGGUUUAAGCGUGUAGGCUGGUUUUCCAGGCAAAUCCGGAAAAUCAAGGCUGAGGCGUGAUGACGAGGCACUACGGUGCUGAAGCAACAAAUGCCCUGCUUCCAGGAAAAGCCUCUAAGCAUCAGGUAACAUCAAAUCGUACCCCAAACCGACACAGGUGGUCAGGUAGAGAAUACCAAGGCGCUUGAGAGAACUCGGGUGAAGGAACUAGGCAAAAUGGUGCCGUAACUUCGGGAGAAGGCACGCUGAUAUGUAGGUGAAGUCCCUCGCGGAUGGAGCUGAAAUCAGUCGAAGAUACCAGCUGGCUGCAACUGUUUAUUAAAAACACAGCACUGUGCAAACACGAAAGUGGACGUAUACGGUGUGACGCCUGCCCGGUGCCGGAAGGUUAAUUGAUGGGGUCAGCGCAAGCGAAGCUCUUGAUCGAAGCCCCGGUAAACGGCGGCCGUAACUAUAACGGUCCUAAGGUAGCGAAAUUCCUUGUCGGGUAAGUUCCGACCUGCACGAAUGGCGUAAUGAUGGCCAGGCUGUCUCCACCCGAGACUCAGUGAAAUUGAACUCGCUGUGAAGAUGCAGUGUACCCGCGGCAAGACGGAAAGACCCCGUGAACCUUUACUAUAGCUUGACACUGAACAUUGAGCCUUGAUGUGUAGGAUAGGUGGGAGGCUUUGAAGUGUGGACGCCAGUCUGCAUGGAGCCGACCUUGAAAUACCACCCUUUAAUGUUUGAUGUUCUAACGUGGACCCGUGAUCCGGGUUGCGGACAGUGUCUGGUGGGUAGUUUGACUGGGGCGGUCUCCUCCUAAAGAGUAACGGAGGAGCACGAAGGUUGGCUAAUCCUGGUCGGACAUCAGGAGGUUAGUGCAAUGGCAUAAGCCAGCUUGACUGCGAGCGUGACGGCGCGAGCAGGUGCGAAAGCAGGUCAUAGUGAUCCGGUGGUUCUGAAUGGAAGGGCCAUCGCUCAACGGAUAAAAGGUACUCCGGGGAUAACAGGCUGAUACCGCCCAAGAGUUCAUAUCGACGGCGGUGUUUGGCACCUCGAUGUCGGCUCAUCACAUCCUGGGGCUGAAGUAGGUCCCAAGGGUAUGGCUGUUCGCCAUUUAAAGUGGUACGCGAGCUGGGUUUAGAACGUCGUGAGACAGUUCGGUCCCUAUCUGCCGUGGGCGCUGGAGAACUGAGGGGGGCUGCUCCUAGUACGAGAGGACCGGAGUGGACGCAUCACUGGUGUUCGGGUUGUCAUGCCAAUGGCACUGCCCGGUAGCUAAAUGCGGAAGAGAUAAGUGCUGAAAGCAUCUAAGCACGAAACUUGCCCCGAGAUGAGUUCUCCCUGACCCUUUAAGGGUCCUGAAGGAACGUUGAAGACGACGACGUUGAUAGGCCGGGUGUGUAAGCGCAGCGAUGCGUUGAGCUAACCGGUACUAAUGAACCGUGAGGCUUAACCUUACAACGCCGAAGGUGUUU